CGAAGCUCUGUCGCGUAACGCUGCCUUUUGUUACGUAACGUUCUGAGUAUACGCAUACCGCGAGAGCAUUCAGUGCGCGAGAAUUACCUGAAUCUCCGGCGAGAUUUAUCGGUCUCGUUGCUCGCAAUACACUUUCUUUCAAACGGCUGUGAGAAACUACUCGACGUCGUACCAAGUUUGAAUUACGUGUGCACGCAUCUAACUAACGCUUUAAUUAUCGAACACGGAAUUGUUCCAACAAAGAAAGUCGUCGUUAUUACUGGCUUGGCGAGCCUUUCAUACAAGUUAAAACCGUCACGAAAGUACUGAGGAAGACAUCCUAAGAGGUGGAAAGGAGGCAGAGAGGAAGGAGAAAGAACGGCGAAUAAAGGUGAAAUGGAGAAAGGGACUCUGCCAUCCUAUGAACUAGACAUCAGGGCUGAGAGCGAAGGUGUAGGAAAACGACGGAGAGGCCGACAGCUUUUACGAGAGAACGAGAAGAAACACAAUCUACCUGUGUGUAUCGGUAUGACUCGGUAAAUA